CGAGUAGCUCAGUUGGUUAGAGCGCCGGCCUGUCACGCCGGAGGUCGAGGGUUCAAGCCCCUUCUC
rnacentral:tRNA from 1 species